CCUACGGGCGGCUGCAGUGGGGAAUAUUGCACAAUGGGCGCAAGCCUGAUGCAGCCAUGCCGCGUGUGUGAAGAAGGCCUUCGGGUUGUAAAGCACUUUCAGCGGGGAGGAAGGCGGUGAGGUUAAUAACCUCAUCGAUUGACGUUACCCGCAGAAGAAGCACCGGCUAACUCCGUGCCAGCAGCCGCGGUAAUACGGAGGGUGCAAGCGUUAAUCGGAAUUACUGGCCGUAAAGCGCACGCAGGCGGUCUGUCAAGUCGGAUGUGAAAUCCCCGGGCUCAACCUGGGAACUGCAUUCGAAACUGGCAGGCUAGAGUCUUGUAGAGGGGGGUAGAAUUCCAGGUGUAGCGGUGAAAUGCGUAGAGAUCUGGAGGAAUACCGGUGGCGAAGGCGGCCCCCUGGACAAAGACUGACGCUCAGGUGCGAAAGCGUGGGGAGCAAACAGGAUUAGAUACCCUAGUAGUC
rnacentral:rRNA from 1 species